CUGGUCUUGACCUCAGGUGAUCCACAUGCCUUGGCCUUCCAAAGUGCUGGGAUUACAGGCGUGAGCCACGGUGCCCAGCCCUGUCCAUAGUUUUAAAGUAGAUUCCUAUAAAAGGAAUUUUUAACUUUGAAAAGGGAUGACUAGGAUCUCUAGAAAUGAGUGCUGAAUAUACAAUUUCAGCAGACAUGUUUUAUGUGAUAGGAUAAACGCUUGCUAGCACAGCUACAAGAGUAAAGCAAGAGUAGAACAAACCUAAUAAAACUUGCCUACAAUUUAAAUUAUUGUAAAAAGAAGAAGUAGAUGCACAAAGGGCAACUACGGAAGACUCUGAUGAUCAUAUGAAGUAUCUAGUAACAAAGACAAACAUGAACGCAACAUGACUGAGAAGAAUGUCAAGCUCUUCAUCUAAAAAAUGACAAGAAAGCCAAGCCUCUGGAAGUCAGGAAUAUAAUACUGGCAUUUGAUACAUAUACAUAUAUAUGUGUGUA
rnacentral:lncRNA from 1 species